rnacentral:rRNA from 1 species
GACGAACGCUGGCGGCGUGCUUAACACAUGCAAGUCGAACGGAAAGGCCCUGCUUUUGUGGGGUGCUCGAGUGGCGAACGGGUGAGUAACACGUGAGUAACCUGCCCUUGACUUUGGGAUAACUUCAGGAAACUGGGGCUAAUACCGGAUAGGAGCUCCUGCUGCAUGGUGGGGGUUGGAAAGUUUCGGCGGUUGGGGAUGGACUCGCGGCUUAUCAGCUUGUUGGUGGGGUAGUGGCUUACCAAGGCUUUGACGGGUAGCCGGCCUGAGAGGGUGACCGGCCACAUUGGGACUGAGAUACGGCCCAGACUCCUACGGGAGGCAGCAGUGGGGAAAUAUUGCACAAUGGGCGGAAGCCUGAUGCAGCAACGCCGCGUGCGGGAUGACGGCCUUCGGGUUGUAAACCGCUUUCGCCUGUGACGAAGCGUGAGUGACGGUAAUGGGUAAAGAAGCACCGGCUAACUACGUG